CCCUGGAAACAUUCUGUGCCUGGACUUCUUUGAAGAAAUAUUAGAGGAAGUGACCCAAGAGACCCCAGAAAUCUCCGGAAGAGGAGUGAACACCAAACUGAAUGCAGAAGUGACACUUGGAAGCAUCAAGAAAACUGGCAUGAACAAGGAUUGCAUAGAAAUUGACAGUAACUGGGACCAACAGCUGUAAUUUCCCCUCUGCAAGAUGGAAAACAACAGACAAGUCAACAAUGGCAUCUGUUUUCACUCAGAUUGGGUGAACCAGAUGGCUUAGCAUUGAAGAACUAUGACAGAUGAAGGAACUCAUGGUUUGGAAGAAAUUUGUUGUUGUUGUUAACUGCCUUCACGUCGAUCUCGGCCCAUGGCGACCCUAUAGAUGAGACAUCUCCAGGACCCCUGUCCUCUACUGCUCUGCCCAGCUCCUGCAAACUCAU